GACGAACGCUGGCGGCGUGCCUAAUACAUGCAAGUAGAACGCUGAAGGAGGAGCUUGCUUCUCUGGAUGAGUUGCGAACGGGUGAGUAACGCGUAGGUAACCUGCCUGGUAGCGGGGGAUAACUAUUGGAAACGAUAGCUAAUACCGCAUAAGAGUAGAUGUUGCAUGACAUUUGCUUAAAAGGUGCAAUUGCAUCACUACCAGAUGGACCUGCGUUGUAUUAGCUAGUUGGUGAGGUAACGGCUCACCAAGGCAACGAUACAUAGCCGACCUGAGAGGGUGAUCGGCCACACUGGGACUGAGACACGGCCCAGACUCCUACGGGAGGCAGCAGUAGGGAAUCUUCGGCAAUGGACGGAAGUCUGACCGAGCAACGCCGCGUGAGUGAAGAAGGUUUUCGGAUCGUAAAGCUCGGUUGUAAGAGAAGAACGAGUGUGAGAGUGGAAAGUUCACACUGUGACGGUAUCUUACCAGAAAGGGACGGCUAACUACGUG
rnacentral:rRNA from 1 species